CCACUAAUGUAACAUUAUUUGUUGGACCAAGUUAGCAGAAGAACUGACUUGGCCAGAUCAGUUAAAGAAUGUUAAGUACAUAUUUUGUUAGUUAAGUGGUUAGUAAUAACUGACUUAAAUAUCUGCUAAACUAGUAGUUAGUAUAACUAAAUCUGUAGCUAUAAAAGGCACACUAUUGUAAGAACUAUUCAAUGAAUGAAAAUACACGUUUAGUAGAAACUUAUAUUGUAUCAUUCGUUCUCGGCUAAGAUCUUCAAGAAUGAUUAAUGCCGACUCGUUUUCCGCUGCCGCCGGUGCGACGAUUACCGGAAAUGCUGCUGCCACAAGAUUGGUCGCGAAGCAUGUAAAAUGUGUUCAAUUAGAGAAAGACAACUACUUCGUAUGGGAGGCUCAAUUCUCGGCGAUGCUAUGGGGAUUUGAACUCAUGGGAUACGUCGAAGGUGAAAUUGAACUCAACACUCCAUCGACUCGCCAACAAGAUCAGCUUAUCCUAAGUUGGAUCUUGAUAGGGAUUUCGACUUCUAUUCUUCCUUCGGUUGUUGCCUGCAAGACAUCCACGAUGACAUGGAACGCCUUGAAAAGAAUGUACGCCUCCAGCACUUUGGCGAGACAGUUACACCUAAGAUUGCAGCUGCAAACAACGAAGAAGGAAGGCAUGAUGAUGGGAGAUUUUCUUGCUAAGAUUUCAAUCCUAAAAGAUUCGCUAGCUGCAAACAGAGAAGUUUUGAAAGAAAAAAAGGUUAUUUUAAUUGCUUUACAAGGUCUUGGGGAUGAAUAUGAAUCAUUUGUGACAUCUAUUACAACUAGAUACGAUCACUUAAUGACUUUCAUUACAUUGUGUGAAGUCCUGAUCGACUAUGAUCGGCUCGAGGCUAGAAAUUCGACGACCAUGAAUGUUUCAGCAAAAGCAUACAAAUCCGGACGAACAUCAGAUGCAAAUUCGGACGGCGACUCGUCAUUUGAGAAUGUCAGAUGCCAAAUCUGCAACAGGAAAGCUCACUCUGCCCUAAAUUGCUAUCAUCGGUUGAACAUUAUGAAGUACAGACCGACACACACUCGUGAGCUCACGGCUGUUGGACCGAAUGGUGCAUAUCGAUCUGCCCGGAAAGAAAAAUCUGCAACACUCUCCGCAAAUGCAGAUUCUGAUUCUUCAAUGUCUCUUUGGUUUCCCAACACCGGUGCAACUUCUCAUAUAACUCCUACCGCCAAUAAUAUCCAAUCCCCAAGAAUAUUCAAAGGUAAUAAUCAGAUUCUCACGGCUGAUGGUAGUCCGUUAUCUAUUUUGAAUACGGGGGAGAGUAUUGCAAAAGACAACUUCAAAAAUUCUUUCUAAUAAAAAAUUUGUUACAC
rnacentral:lncRNA from 1 species